rnacentral:rRNA from 1 species
ACGAACGCUGGCGGCGUGCCUAAUACAUGCAAGUCGAACGCUUCUUUUUCCACCGGAGCUUGCUCCACCGGAAAAAGAGGAGUGGCGAACGGGUGAGUAACACGUGGGUAACCUGCCCAUCAGAAGGGGAUAACACUUGGAAACAGGUGCUAAUACCGUAUAACAAUCGAAACCGCAUGGUUUUGAUUUGAAAGGCGCUUUCGGGUGUCGCUGAUGGAUGGACCCGCGGUGCAUUAGCUAGUUGGUGAGGUAACGGCUCACCAAGGCGACGAUGCAUAGCCGACCUGAGAGGGUGAUCGGCCACAUUGGGACUGAGACACGGCCCAAACUCCUACGGGAGGCAGCAGUAGGGAAUCUUCGGCAAUGGACGAAAGUCUGACCGAGCAACGCCGCGUGAGUGAAGAAGGUUUUCGGAUCGUAAAACUCUGUUGUUAGAGAAGAACAAGGAUGAGAGUAACUGUUCAUCCCUUGACGGUAUCUAACCAGAAAGCCACGGCUAACUACGUGCCAGCAGCCGCGGUAAUACGUAGGUGGCAAGCGUUGUCCGGAUUUAUUGGGCGUAAAGCGAGCGCAGGCGGUUUCUUAAGUCUGAUGUGAAAGCCCCCGGCUCAACCGGGGAGGGUCAUUGGAAACUGGGAGACUUGAGUGCAGAAGAGGAGAGUGGAAUUCCAUGUGUAGCGGUGAAAUGCGUAGAUAUAUGGAGGAACACCAGUGGCGAAGGCGGCUCUCUGGUCUGUAACUGACGCUGAGGCUCGAAAGCGUGGGGAGCAAACAGGAUUAGAUACCCUGGUAGUCCACGCCGUAAACGAUGAGUGCUAAGUGUUGGAGGGUUUCCGCCCUUCAGUGCUGCAGCUAACGCAUUAAGCACUCCGCCUGGGGAGUACGACCGCAAGGUUGAAACUCAAAGGAAUUGACGGGGGGCCGCACAAGCGGUGGAGCAUGUGGUUUAAUUCGAAGCAACGCGAAGAACCUUACCAGGUCUUGACAUCCUUUGACCACUCUAGAGAUAGAGCUUCCCCUUCGGGGGCAAAGUGACAGGUGGUGCAUGGUUGUCGUCAGCUCGUGUCGUGAGAUGUUGGGUUAAGUCCCGCAACGAGCGCAACCCUUAUUGUUAGUUGCCAUCAUUUAGUUGGGCACUCUAGCAAGACUGCCGGUGACAAACCGGAGGAAGGUGGGGAUGACGUCAAAUCAUCAUGCCCCUUAUGACCUGGGCUACACACGUGCUACAAUGGGAAGUACAACGAGUCGCAAAGUCGCGAGGCUAAGCUAAUCUCUUAAAGCUUCUCUCAGUUCGGAUUGUAGGCUGCAACUCGCCUACAUGAAGCCGGAAUCGCUAGUAAUCGCGGAUCAGCACGCCGCGGUGAAUACGUUCCCGGGCCUUGUACACACCGCCCGUCACACCACGAGAGUUUGUAACACCCGAAGUCGGUGAGGUAACCUUUUGGAGCCAGCCGCCUAAGGUGGGAUAGAUGAUUGGGGUG